CGGCGAGUGAAGCGGCAAGAGCUCAAAUUUGAAAUCUGGCCCUUCCGGGGUCCGAGUUGUAAUUUGUAGAGGAUGCUUCGGGUGCGGCCCCCGUCGAAGUGCCCUGGAACGGGCCGUCGGAGAGGGUGAGAAUCCCGUCUGGGACGGGGUGUCCGUGCCCGUGUGAAGCUCCCUCGACGAGUCGAGUUGUUUGGGAAUGCAGCUCUAAGUGGGUGGUAAAUUUCAUCUAAAGCUAAAUACCGGCCGGAGACCGAUAGCGCACAAGUAGAGUGAUCGAAAGAUGAAAAGCACCUUGAAAAGGGAGUUAAACAGCACGUGAAAUUGUUGAAAGGGAAGCGCUGACGACCAGACUCGGCCGCGGGGUUCAGCCGGCAUUCGUGCCGGUGUACUUCCCCGCGGCCGGGCCAGCGUCGGUUUGGGCGGUCGGUCAAAGGCCCCCGGAAUGUAGCGCCCCUCGGGGCGCCUUAUAGCCGGGGGUGCAAUGCGGCCUGCCUAGACCGAGGAACGCGCUUCGGCUCG
rnacentral:rRNA from 2 species